UACGUAGGGUGCGAGCGUUAAUCGGAAUUACUGGGCGUAAAGCGUGCGCAGGCGGUUUUGUAAGUCAGAUGUGAAAUCCCCGGGCUUAACCUGGGAACUGCGUUUGAAACUGGCAGGCUAGAGUUUGGCAGAGGGGGGUGGAAUUCCACGUGUAGCAGUGAAAUGCGUAGAGAUGUGGAGGAACACCGAUGGCGAAGGCAGCCCCCUGGGCCAAAACUGACGCUCAGGCACGAAAGCGUGGGGAGCAAACAGG
rnacentral:rRNA from 1 species